GAACGCUGGCGGCGUGCUUAACACAUGCAAGUCGAACGGAAAGGCCCUGCUUUUGUGGGGUGCUCGAGUGGCGAACGGGUGAGUAACACGUGAGUAACCUGCCCUUGACUUUGGGAUAACUUCAGGAAACUGGGGCUAAUACCGGAUAGGAGCUCCUGCUGCAUGGUGGGGGUUGGAAAGUUUCGGCGGUUGGGGAUGGACUCGCGGCUUAUCAGCUUGUUGGUGGGGUAGUGGCUUACCAAGGCUUUGACGGGUAGCCGGCCUGAGAGGGUGACCGGCCACAUUGGGACUGAGAUACGGCCCAGACUCCUACGGGAGGCAGCAGUGGGGAAUAUUGCACAAUGGGCGGAAGCCUGAUGCAGCAACGCCGCGUGCGGGAUGACGGCCUUCGGGUUGUAAACCGCUUUCGCCUGUGACGAAGCGUGAGUGACGGUAAUGGGUAAAGAAGCACCGGCUAACUACGUGCCAGCAGCCGCGGUGAUACGUAGGGUGCGAGCGUUGUCCGGAUUUAUUGGGCGUAAAGGGCUCGUAGGUGGUUGAUCGCGUCGGAAGUGUAAUCUUGGGGCUUAACCCUGAGCGUGCUUUCGAUACGGGUUGACUUGAGGAAGGUAGGGGAGAAUGGAAUUCCUGGUGGAGCGGUGGAAUGCGCAGAUACCAGGAGGAACACCAGUGGCGAAGGCGGUUCUCUGGGCCUUUCCUGACGCUGAGGAGCGAAAAGCGUGGGGAGCGAACAGGCUUAGAUACCCUGGUAGUCCACGCUGUAAACGGUGGGUACUAGGUGUGGGGUCCAUUCCACGGGUUCCGUGCCGUAGCUAACGCUUUAAGUACCCCGCCUGGAGGAGUACGGCCGCAAGGCUAAAACUCAAAGGAAUUGACGGGGCCCCGCACAAGCGGCGGAGCAUGCGGAUUAAUUCGAUGCAACGCGUAGAACCUUACCUGGGUUUGACAUGGAUCGGGAGUGCUCAGAGAUGGGUGUGCCUCUUUUGGGGUCGGUUCACAGGUGGUGCAUGGCUGUCGUCAGCUCGUGUCGUGAGAUGUUGGGUUAAGUCCCGCAACGAGCGCAACCCUUGUUCACUGUUGCCAGCACGUUAUGGUGGGGACUCAGUGGAGACCGCCGGGGUCAACUCGGAGGAAGGUGGGGAUGACGUCAAGUCAUCAUGCCCCUUAUGUCCAGGGCUUCACGCAUGCUACAAUGGCUGGUACAGAGAGUGGCGAGCCUGUGAGGGUGAGCGAAUCUCGGAAAGCCGGUCUCAGUUCGGAUUGGGGUCUGCAACUCGACCUCAUGAAGUCGGAGUCGCUAGUAAUCGCAGAUCAGCAACGCUGCGGUGAAUACGUUCCCGGGGCUUGUACACACCGCCCGUCAAGUCAUGAAAGUUGGUAACACCCGAAGCCGGUGGCCUAACCGUUGUGGGGGAGCCGUCGAAGGUGGGACUGGUGAUUAGGACU
rnacentral:rRNA from 1 species